rnacentral:rRNA from 1 species
CCUACGGGGGGCAGCAGUGGGGGAUAUUGCACAAUGGGGGGAACCCUGAUGCCGCGACGCCGCGUGGGUGAAGGAGCGUUUCGGCGCGUAAAGCCCUAUCGGCAGGGAAGAAGGAGGACGGUACCUGACUAAGGAGCACCGGCUAACUACGUGCCAGCAGCCGCGGUAAUACGUAGGUGGCAGGCCUUAUCCGGAUUUACUGGGUGUACAGUGGGCGCAGACGGCAGCGCAAGACAGGGGUGAAAGCCCGGGGCCCAACCCCGGGCCUGCUCUUGGAACUGCCGGGCUGGAGUGCAGGAGGGGCAGGCGGAAUUCCUGGUGUAGCGGUGAAAUGCGUAGAUAUCAGGAGGAACACCAGUGGCGAAGGCGGCCUGCUGGACUGCGACUGACGUUGAGGCUCGAAAGCGUGGGGAGCAAACAGGAUUAGAUACCCUUGUAGUC